rnacentral:rRNA from 1 species
UACGUAGGGACCGAGCGUUGUCCGGAUUCAUUGGGCGUAAAGAGCUCGUAGGCGGCCACUCAAGUCGAAUGUGAAACCUCGAGGCUUAACCUCGAGCCUGCAUUCGAAUACUGGGCGGCUAGAGUCUGGUAGGGGGAUCUGGAAUUCCUGGUGUAGCGGUGGAAUGCGCAGAUAUCAGGAGGAACACCGGUGGCGAAGGCGGGAUCCUGGGCCAGUACUGACGCUGAGGAGCGAAAGCGUGGGGAGCAAACGGGG